GCUUACGGCCAUACCACCUUAGGCACGCCCGAUCUCGUCUGAUCUUGGAAGCUAAGCAGGGUCGGGCCGGGUUAGUACUUGGAUGGGUGACCGCCUGGGAAUACCAGGUGCUGUAAGCA
rnacentral:rRNA from 1 species